GACGAACGCUGGCGGCGUGCCUAAUACAUGCAAGUUGAGCGAUGAAGAUUGGUGCUUGCACCAAUUUGAAGAGCAGCGAACGGGUGAGUAACGCGUGGGGAAUCUGCCUUUGAGCGGGGGACAACAUUUGGAAACGAAUGCUAAUACCGCAUAACAACUUUAAACAUAAGUUUUAAGUUUGAAAGAUGCAAUUGCAUCACUCAAAGAUGAUCCCGCGUUGUAUUAGCUAGUUGGUGAGGUAAAGGCUCACCAAGGCGAUGAUACAUAGCCGACCUGAGAGGGUGCUCGGCCACAUUGGGACUGGGACACGGCCCAAACUCCUACGGGAGGCAGCAGUAGGGAAUCUUCGGCAAUGGACGAAAGUCUGACCGAGCAACGCCGCGUGAGUGAAGAAGGUUUUCGGAUCGUAAAACUCUGUUGGUAGAGAAGAACGUUGGUGAGAGUGGAAAGCUCAUCAAGUGACGGUAACUACCCAGAAAGGGACGGCUAACUACGUG
rnacentral:rRNA from 1 species